CACACCAAUAUUAAAUAAAAAAAAUGAAACGCUUGAGAAACACCUCGAUUUAUGUCUACGUGUUAGAAUUACACACAUAAUAAAGAUAUUCCAUAACUAUUCCCUUUUUCUCAACAUAUGACCAAUUAGCAUGUAUAGUUACUGCUAUCGUAUCCCUGCUGUCAUGAUUAACACUAAUAACUAUUACUAUUGUCACUAUUAACACUCAUCCCUUAUGCUUUACUUAUGACUUUAGUUCCGGUGUAUUAUAAGGACUGUGGUUUCUCAUUAAUAUUCGUUGUUUACCGCAUGCGAGUUUAGGCGAAACAUAGCAUAGUCUUUGAUUUCGAUAUCGAUUCCAAACUGUAUAAAAUGAACAUUUGUUUCUGACAUUUAGUAUGGAAGUAAACGUGGUAUAUUUAUAAAGUCGAGAAUAUAGAGGUUCGGUACGCAAAAAAAAAGAAGAAAAAAAGAGGUUAACUGUUAAAUUCCUAAAAUCUAGAUUGUGACGGAUGCAACAAAUCGAAUUUUUCAAAGGAAGGGAACUGUUGCAUUUUCAAGUCACAUAUGUAUGUUUUCUUUCUCUCUAUAUAUGUAUAUCGUACACUACCAUUCAUUUUUUAAUGUCUAAGGGGAUUAAAACGACAUGAUAAUUAUCUUUUAUAUUCAUUAUCUUCUGGAACCACUAUAUUGCAUAUCAAUAUAUAUAUUAAUAAUAUGACCAUUACUGUAAUGGAUAUCAUGAAAAAAUAUUAUCAUUAUUACAUUAUAGCUUCACAUUAUUAAAAAUAUUGCUAUUACUAUAUUAAUCACCUACUUCUAUCAACUUCACUGCUGCACAUAUAAUCAUCACUCUUCUUAUGGUUAUGAUCUACAAAUAAUUGUCGUUAUUAUCAUAAACAGCCAUUCUUAUCAUUAAUAUUAUUGUCAUUAGUUAUUAUUUUUAUCAUUAACAUUUCAAGAUGCUAAGAUUAUAAAAAAUAUAUAUCUUAUUUAAUACAAUUAGCCUACAUACAACUUCGGCAGGAUUGACAUGAAUGCCCUACUUGUAACUUUACCAUGAUACUCCAUCUUGAAGGAAACAGUGAAUGACUAUUUUUCACACACACACACACACACACACACACACACACACACACACACACACACACACACACACACACACACACACACACA